GUCCCCGUCACCCAAUUGGAUAGGGUACAGGCCUCCGAAGCCUGGUGUGGCAGUUCGAUUCUGCCCGGGGACGCCA
rnacentral:tRNA from 1 species